CCUCGACGCUAGGGGUGCUCAUGCGAGCUGAGAAGGAUUGUGCAAACAAUCCUACCCUUUGAACCUGAUCUGGGUCAUACCAGCGAAGGGAAGCGAGUCAUUUGCUAC
rnacentral:ncRNA from 1 species